rnacentral:rRNA from 1 species
UACGUAGGGUGCGAGCGUUAAUCGGAAUUACUGGGCGUAAAGCGUGCGCAGGCGGUUCGUUAUGUCCGAUGUGAAAGCCCCGAGCUUAACUUGGGAAUGGCAUUGGAAACUGGCGGGCUGGAGUGCGGCAGAGGGGGGUGGAAUUCCAGGUGUAGCGGUGAAAUGCGUAGAUAUCUGGAGGAACACCGGUGGCGAAGGCGGCAUCCUGGACCAACACUGACACUGAGGAGCGAAAGCCAGGGGAGCAAACGGG